rnacentral:lncRNA from 1 species
UGGCUUUUGAUUCCUCUAAUCAGUUUGAGUUAACGACAAAUUCUGUCUUAUCCUCUCAACAAGAUCUUUUGAAUGACUUGGUCCAAGAAACAAGUGAUUUUCCGUCCUCUGUUUAUUGGAGUUUUGAGCCCAGCCCUCAAACAACACCACGACUCAAGAAACGCCCCAUGUCUCCCUCAAUACAUCCAAUUCAUAAACCAUGUUCCGUCAGUGAAAGCCCUUUAGGAUCUUCUUACGAGUCUAGAAGCUCGUGUGAAGAAACUAAUCGGAAGGACCCGCAAGCUGUGGACAAGCAUGAACAGUUAACAAGAGCUCCAAUCAUCUCAUCUCCCUCUCCCCAAGUACUUAACCUAACAAACCUUUCCUCCAAUCCUCCCAAGUCAGAACAAUCCUUGGAACUCAGCGAUUCAACCACUGAUGCACAAACAUAUUCAGUUCAAACAACAAAAAAAUUCUGGGAAAAGAUUUCAUCCAGUAGUACAUCAUCCGAUGACUCUCCUGUGAAAAGUGAAAUUCCUGCUCCAAAACCAGAGGCUGUGUCAAGAGCUGUGAAACCAAUUGCAAAACAACGAACUCUGUCUGUGACAUCCUCCGUUUCCAUAGACAAUAGCUCCGGUUCAAUAGAUGUAAACUCUACUGAUACUUCAAGUAAAGUUGAAGUUUUAGGUAGGGAUGACAGCAGUGCAAAACCUAUGCAACCCUCUGCUGGUAUUCCAUCUACAGAUAACUUUGUAAAUGUUGCAACUACCAUCGCAGAAUCCUUUAGAGAAUCUCGGAACACGAAAAGUAUCGAUUCUGAGACUGAGUACAUUGGUAGUCAUCCAUCUGAAUACUUUGCGUAUGAGAAUCCCGCUUUGAAAAUCGACACCACAGACCUAAGUAGUAGAUUCUUAACAGAGAGAGAAAGUGGUAUCUUUGAUAAGAGGUAUUCAGAAUGCUUGAAUGAAAUUCCGCCCAUCACUAUCCCUCGGAAAACAAUCCAUGAACGCUCUGCAUCCUUACCGUGCUCCGAGCUGUCAGACGAAAGUAUAAGAACUCGAAAAAGAAUUUUUGAGUCUCAAAUUAAAAAAGAAAUGGUUGUGGACCAAUUAAUGACUCAGUUGGAAGAAGAGUCAUCUUUAGAAUACAAGACUAUCUCAGACACUGAGAAAAGAGUUGCAGAAGUAACUCAAGAGGACAUGAUAAAUAGGCAGAUUCAUACGCAUAUUUUCCGUUCUGAGAUUAACGAGCAGAUUGAUUCCUCCGUCCCUGAACACAAACAAAUAGGCCUAGAAAAAACGGUCAAUGAGACCCAGUCAUUAGAAACCAUCAAAGCCCCUUAUGAUGAUGCGAUCCAAUUGGUCAGUUCAGAGGUUGUGAAUGAAAUCAUAUCAGAAUCUAUGCACCAAGUAAGUCACCUAAGCAGCUACGACGAAUCUAAUUCAUCUACUGAUCUUCCAGAGACGUCAUUAGAACCACUCUCUUCAAAUCUGAAAGCCUGGCCAAAGGACAAUGGGGAAGUGCACAUUGAUAAAAGUGAACUCGAAUCAACGGAAAAAGGAAUAGAAAAGAAGGACCAGAUCGUAGAAUAUUUGACCCAGAUAAAGAACUGGUACCCUCUAUCACUUACUCUUUAUCUGGGAAGCAACGAACAGACAGUUCAGACCAAAGUGUUGACACGCAGUCCGAAUCUGAUGUUACCCCGGCUGACUCCAAGGACAAGCAGAUUUGGGAUACCAUAGAAUAUGACAUUGCAACAAGUACCUUGAUCGAUAAACAAGUAGUAUGUACGCCCGAAGAACAUGUACCAGAUACAGUCUGGGAAGUUCCAAUUCAAGAAAAUGAGCAAGAAGUUUAUGAUCAAGGUGUACCGAUCGAAGCUCAAGAGCAUUUUGAAGGUGGACUAUCUGAAAAAAUGAUCGAAACCUCGAGCGUUACCGAGAAAGAAAUACGCACAAUGGCAGAAGGAGUCAUAGCAGACAUUGAAUCGGUGUUGAGUGGGAAAAACAUGGAUUUCCUGUCAUCAGAUGCUGCACAAUCCAAAUUAUCAGAAUUUUUGGAAUCGAUGCAUGAAUCUGGAGUAGACAAAUCUGUCAGUAAAGAUUUAAUUGAAUCAGUAAUUGCUAAAAAGCAUAGAGAAAAUAUGCAAAGAAUGUUUAGAACUGACACGAACACAUCAAGUGUCGAGAUUACUGACGAAGACCUCCGGAGCACUGGUGUUGAAACUGAUUUAUCUCUGCAAGACUGCAAAGUUCAGGGGUCACUUGAAACUCGAAGAAUAAGUUCUUAUGAAGAUUUAAGUGCUGAUGUGUUUGAGAAGUCUCCAGAGGAUGCACCACAGGUUGAAAGCUCCACAGAAUUAGAAUAUGCAUCAGGACUUGGGGAAAAAACGACGCAACCUCCAUUUAAAGCAAAAGACAAAGAAAGCGAUAUCUGCACAAGCAAGCCAACUUCUGCAUCAAGUUUAGAGAGUGAAGUGUUACAAAUAAAUAAACCUGAUAAAGACAUCAUCGUUUUUACAGAAAAUAGUGAACAAACGCCCCCAUCUACUAAAAUAAUUGAAAGUGAUGCACCACUAGAUAAAUUGAUCGCAAAUGUACCGGAGAUCCCAUUAGAUAUACGAAGUACACAGACAUCAAAUGCAGAAAAAACAAGCGGUCCAACAGUUCCGCUGGAUGUUGAAAUCAGUCAGAUCUCUGCAGCCAGUGAUGAAUUUGGUCCAUCAGUUCAUCAAUCUUCAGAGAAAGGAGUUAAAAGCUGCCCCGAUUCUUCUGGGAUGUUUGAAGGCACCAAAGAAGAACUCUCAAGGAUGGAGUCUCGAAAAAAGAUGUAGAAGUAGGUGAGGCGGUUUUCC